UCCCUGGUGAUCCAGUGGCUAAGACUCUGCACUCCCAAUGCAGGGGCCCAGGUUCAACCCCUGGUCAGGGAA
rnacentral:tRNA from 1 species